rnacentral:lncRNA from 1 species
UAAAACAUUUAAGACAAGAGCUGGUAGCUAAAAGCUUUUUCACAUCAGUGACUUCAGUGGUAUGUCCCAUAUCUUGUGAUGAAGAUAUGGUUUUAUUUGAGGGAUAUUUAGAAGACUCUACAGAUUUUAAUAAUGCAGUAGGUAUAGGAGCUUGUUAUAGUAGGAGGAUCAAAAGCCUAUGAUUUUGUAUCAAGAGUUGGAAAAUUAAUUAUUAGCAAUGAGCAAGCUUUAAGUACAGUUGACUGGAACAAAAAGGCAAAUAAAAGUUUUGUGAUACCAGUGAUAUCAGUUUUGUGCAAAUCUGAUAAUUGGUAAAGCUUAUUCUACAUGUACAUGUAAAAUUUUAAUAGCAAUAAACGUAUUUU